rnacentral:rRNA from 1 species
CCUACGGGUGGCAGCAGUAGGGAAUUUUCGUCAAUGGGCGCAAGCCUGAACGAGCAAUGCCGCGUGAACGAGGAAGGUCUUCAGAUCGUAAAGUUCUGUUGAAGGGGAAACAGAGCGGAGAGAGGAAAUGGUCUCCGAUUUAUAUUACCCUUCGAGGAAGUCACGGCUAACUACGUGCCAGCAGCCGCGGUAAUACGUAGGUGGCGUGCGUUAUCCGGAAGGAUUGGGCGAAAGGGGUGCGUAGGCGGCCUGCUAAGUCUGGAGUGAAAGGUACCGGCUCAACCGGUACAGGCCCUGGAAACUGGCGGGCUAGAGAGCAGGAGAGGGCGGUGGAACUCCAGGUGUAGCGGUAAAAUGCGUAGAUAUAUGGAAGAACUCCAGUGGCGAAGGCGGCCGCCUGGCCUGUUACUGACGCUGAGGCACGAAAGCGUGGGGAGCAAAUAGGAUUAGAUACCCGUGUAGUC